GUUGUUGGGUAGGGGAGCGUUCUGUAAGCCUGUGAAGGUGUGUCGUGAGGCAUGCUGGAGGUAUCAGAAGUGCGAAUGCUGACAUAAGUAACGAUAAAGCGGGUGAAAAGCCCGCUCGCCGGAAGACCAAGGGUUCCUGUCCAACGUUAAUCGGGGCAGGGUGAGUCGACCCCUAAGGCGAGGCCGAAAGGCGUAGUCGAUGGGAAACGGGUUAAUAUUCCCGUACUUGGUGUUACUGCGAAGGGGGGACGGAGAAGGCUAUGUUGGCCGGGCGACGGUUGUCCCGGUUUAAGCGUGUAGGUGUGUGUUCCAGGUAAAUCCGGUUCACUUUAACACUGAGGCGUGACGACGAGGCACUACGGUGCUGAAGCAACAAAUGCCCUGCUUCCAGGAAAAGCCUCUAAGCAUCAGGUAACAUCAAAUCGUACCCCAAACCGACACAGGUGGUCAGGUAGAGAAUACCAAGGCGCUUGAGAGAACUCGGGUGAAGGAACUAGGCAAAAUGGUGCCGUAACUUCGGGAGAAGGCACGCUGACACGUAGGUGAAGUGAUUUACUCACGGAGCUGAAGUCAGUCGAAGAUACCAGCUGGCUGCAACUGUUUAUUAAAAACACAGCACUGUGCAAACACGAAAGUGGACGUAUACGGUGUGACGCCUGCCCGGUGCCGGAAGGUUAAUUGAUGGGGUCAGCGCAAGCGAAGCUCCUGAUCGAAGCCCCGGUAAACGGCGGCCGUAACUAUAACGGUCCUAAGGUAGCGAAAUUCCUUGUCGGGUAAGUUCCGACCUGCACGAAUGGCGUAAUGAUGGCCAGGCUGUCUCCACCCGAGACUCAGUGAAAUUGAACUCGCUGUGAAGAUGCAGUGUACCCGCGGCAAGACGGAAAGACCCCGUGAACCUUUACUAUAGCUUGACACUGAACAUUGAGCCUUGAUGUGUAGGAUAGGUGGGAGGCUUUGAAGCGUGGACGCCAGUCUGCGUGGAGCCGACCUUGAAAUACCACCCUUUAAUGUUUGAUGUUCUAACGUGGACCCGUAUCCGGGUUGCGGACAGUGUCUGGUGGGUAGUUUGACUGGGGCGGUCUCCUCCUAAAGAGUAACGGAGGAGCACGAAGGUUGGCUAAUCCUGGUCGGACAUCAGGAGGUUAGUGCAAUGGCAUAAGCCAGCUUGACUGCGAGCGUGACGGCGCGAGCAGGUGCGAAAGCAGGUCAUAGUGAUCCGGUGGUUCUGAAUGGAAGGGCCAUCGCUCAACGGAUAAAAGGUACUCCGGGGAUAACAGGCUGAUACCGCCCAAGAGUUCAUAUCGACGGCGGUGUUUGGCACCUCGAUGUCGGCUCAUCACAUCCUGGGGCUGAAGUAGGUCCCAAGGGUAUGGCUGUUCGCCAUUUAAAGUGGUACGCGAGCUGGGUUUAGAACGUCGUGAGACAGUUCGGUCCCUAUCUGCCGUGGGCGCUGGAGAACUGAGGGGGGCUGCUCCUAGUACGAGAGGACCGGAGUGGACGCAUCACUGGUGUUCGGGUUGUCAUGCCAAUGGCACUGCCCGGUAGCUAAAUGCGGAAGAGAUAAGUGCUGAAAGCAUCUAAGCACGAAACUUGCCCCGAGAUGAGUUCUCCCUGAGACUUAGAGUCUCCUGAAGGAACGUUGAAGACGACGACGUUGAUAGGCCGGGUGUGUAAGCGCAGCGAUGCGUUGAGCUAACCGGUACUAAUGAACCGUGAGGCUUAACCUUAC
rnacentral:rRNA from 1 species